AUUGAACGCUGGCGGCAUGCCUUACACAUGCAAGUCGAACGGUAACAGCACUUCGGUGGCUGACGAGUGGCGGACGGGUGAGUAAUACAUCGGAACGUGCCCGAUCGUGGGGGAUAACUACUCGAAAGAGUGGCUAAUACCGCAUACGAUCUACGGAUGAAAGCGGGGGAUCGCAAGACCUCGCGCGGACGGAGCGGCCGAUGGCAGAUUAGGUAGUUGGUGGGAUAAAAGCUUACCAAGCCGACGAUCUGUAGCUGGUCUGAGAGGACGACCAGCCACACUGGGACUGAGACACGGCCCAGACUCCUACGGGAGGCAGCAGUGGGGAAUUUUGGACAAUGGGGGAAACCCUGAUCCAGCCAUGCCGCGUGCAGGAUGAAGGCCUUCGGGUUGUAAACUGCUUUUGUACGGAACGAAAAGACUCUUUCUAAUACAGAGGGUCCAUGACGGUACCGUAAGAAUAAGCACCGGCUAACUACGUG
rnacentral:rRNA from 1 species